CGGGUGAGUAACGCGUGGAUAAUCUACCCAUUGGUUCGGAAUAACAGUUGGAAACGACUGAUAAUACUGGAUAAUAUGGCAACGUUAAAGGUGGCCUCUGCUUGCAAGCUACUGCCAAUGGAUGAGUCCGCGUCUCAUUAGCUAGACGGUAGGGUAACGGCCUACCGUGGCAACGAUGAGUAGCAGGCCUGAGAGGGUGGCCUGCCACACUGGGACUGGAACACGGCCCAGACUCCUACGGGAGGCAGCAGUGGGGAAUAUUGCGCAAUGGGGGAAACCCUGACGCAGCGACGCCGCGUGGAGGAUGAAGGUUUUCGGAUCGUAAACUCCUGUCAGAAGGGAAGAAACCUGCAAAAAGUAAUAUGUUUUGCAGCUGACGGUACCUUCAGAGGAAGCACCGGCUAAUUCCGUGCCAGCAGCCGCGGUAAUACGGAAGGUGCAAGCGUUAAUCGGAAUCACUGGGCGUAAAGCGCUCGUAGGUGGCUUUGUAAGUCAGGUGUGAAAGCCCACGGCUCAACCGUGGAAUUGCACUUGAUACUGCAUUGCUUGAGUUCGGGAGAGGGUAGUGGAAUUCCAGGUGUAGGAGUGAAAUCCGUAGAGAUCUGGAGGAACACCAGUGGCGAAGGCGACUACCUGGACCGAUACUGACACUGAGGAGCGAAAGCGUGGGGAGCAAACAGGAUUAGAUACCCUGGUAGUCCACGCUGUAAACGAUGGAUACUAGGUGUCGGG
rnacentral:rRNA from 1 species